UCCUAUUUAACUCUCGGUAGUCUACACAC
rnacentral:sRNA from 1 species